GUGGGGAAUAUUGGACAAUGGGCGAAAGCCUGAUCCAGCCAUGCCGCGUGUGUGAAGAAGGUCUUCGGAUUGUAAAGCACUUUAAGUUGGGAGGAAGGGCAGUAAGUUAAUACCUUGCUGUUUUGACGUUACCGACAGAAUAAGCACCGGCUAACUUCGUGCCAGCAGCCGCGGUAAUACGAAGGGUGCAAGCGUUAAUCGGAAUUACUGGGCGUAAAGCGCGCGUAGGUGGUUUUGUAAGUUGGAGGUGAAAUCCCCGGGCUCAACCUGGGAACUGCCUCCAAAACUGCAUGACUAGAGUACGGUAGAGGGUAGUGGAAUUUCCUGUGUAGCGAUGAAAUGCGUAGAUAUAGGAAGGAACACCAGUGGCGAAGGCGACUACCUGGACUGAUACUGACACUGAGGUGCGAAAGCGUGGGGAGCAAACAGGAUUAGAUACCCCGGUAGUCC
rnacentral:rRNA from 1 species